AUUUUAAGAAGCGGAGCAGAGGUAGGGGGUAUGGUUGCAUCCUGCCCAUCUGCAGUGAUGCAGCUCUCCCGAAUCCAAUGUGCAGAGAUAGCAUCUUCUAUAGCUGAACAUAUCACCAUUUCUACCUAGUGGUCACCGCCGCCGUGAGUUUACUCUCAGUGAUUUGGCAGGACAUAGCGUGAGCUCCCUCUCACUUCAGACAAAAUCUCCUAGGCUAACACAAGCGUUUUUGUUAAAAAUCUUUAAAUUAACGCAGCUAGUUUUGUGUGGAGCAAUUUGAGGGCACUCAGACAAGCCAUCCUGCAAAUUAGGCAACAGGGUGGUAACCUCUAGCAGAGGAUGGUAGCAAACAGCUGGACAAUGGUAACUUCCGGACUGUAAUAACAGCUACUUGCAGAGUGAGCAUCUGUUUGUACCUUCAGGGACUACCAAAAGGACAAGGGGUGGUAGCUGCUUUAAAGCAGCAUAAGUAUGGGUUAAAUUUCCAGAUAAUGUUAUUAAUGACUAGAAUUUCACGUCCUACCCAAAUUAGCAUGGCCUCUUUAUAAAGAGCUUGAUUUUGAAGAACUGUCGUCUCUCACAGACAGAAAUAUGUCUGCAGUACACUGCCACCUGAGAGAGCUGCAUGUGAGCUGUCACGUCAGGGAAUGUCACUCGUCUAUGUGAAUCUGGCCAGUGAUUCAGGAUUUUGGAGCACCUCCUAUUUGCAGUAUUGAGUUGGUCUAGAAAAUCCCGAGGAUGACCAAAGAACUUAAGGUGUCAGGAAAGUACGCAAGGAAACUGAAAGUGGAGAAGAGGGAGCUCAUCCAUUCACAUGCCAUUAGUAGUGCAAUGAGAUCCCACGAAUGGCUAAGCAUCGGAUGUAUGAACACGAAAUGUGCCAGUAACACAAAAAAUGUUAUUCACAGUUGGAAGUAGCAGUAGAGAUGUAGAAGACCUGCAUCCUGGAAAUCUAUGUGAACUGAGGAACAAACAUGGUAUGAGCAAAACAAAGACACAGGCAGCAGCUUGGGACGUGCAAUGUGGCUCCUGUUGUCAGGUCUGAAAAGAGAAGUCACCUUCUUCAUCUUUCCAGUGUUUGUUAUCCCUAUUGAAAAUUACUUAUUAUUAGCCCUGAGUAGAAAUUCUCUCCAUCUCCCACAAUAUCCAAGGAAAGUGAGUCAACAGCGGUAGCUGUGCAGUGAACAAAAAGCAGUGCCUCUCAGAUAGGGGUGACUCCAUCCAGAAAAGGAAGUGUGGCCAAAGCAAGGUAUAGACUUCAGAUGGUUGUAUUUCCUUGCUUGAAACAUGAAGUUUA
rnacentral:lncRNA from 1 species